UGUUGCGUUACGUCUAACAAAACAAUGGAAUGAAAUCUCCAAAACUUCGUGAUUCGGGUUUUGGCCCGGUAUUCGUUACUACCCGUUAGUUUAUCUUUGACCAUAGUCGGGACUUGUUCUAGGUUACACUGUGUCCAAAUGUGAUCGGUUUUACGAUGUUAUUGAAUCGUAAAAAUAAAAGAGCAUUCAUUGUGACAUACUUGAAACGUUCUCACUGACAGUGAAAAGUAAAGUGUAAAUUAAAUUGAUAAGUUUUCCUGCCUGUUAUCUUGAACAGAUAAUUUCCACACUAGAAAAGGAGUUUUGAAGAGUUAGUAGUGAAAAGUAUUGAUGUUUGACCGUAGCAAAACAUCAAAACGAGAAUAAUAAAAGGUGGAAUAAAAAUUGAAAAAUUUCUUUUAGUGUGAAAAGUGUAAAAGGGACAGAGCAUUCCGUAAAGUGUAAACGUAGUGCGCCGUGUAAACCAUAUGAAGUGAGUACGAGUUGUCGGCGUGAUCGUUGCUUUGCUGCAAAUUUUUUGGAUACUGCCGAUCAGUACUUACAGGGUGCUUGAGAUAAAUUUGACACCUUGCCUUUGGGUUUAUAUCUCAGGGUUGAGUUGACGUAUCGAAAUGAUUGAUAUGUCAUUCAAUUGCUAAAAGUUGUGCGAAGUGUAAAAAAAUGUCUAGCUCCGUAAAUAUGUGGAACCCGUCCGAAUUGUACAAGCGCGUAACGUGUGUUAUGAUGGUUCGUGCCGGCCAUGUUCGUGCCAAAAUUCGGAAGGCGGCGAUGUGUUCGCUGAACACCGUAAAAACAAUACGGUGGCCAAUGGGCGGCCGUACGUUUGGCAGCAGGAUGCUGCACCAUGCCAUACGGCCGUAAAAACACGCCAAUGGCUCACUGCCAAUUUCGACCGAUACACCAGCACCGACGUUUGGCCACCCAGCUCCCCUGACCUUAAUCCUAUGGAUUACUUUGUGUGGGGCACAGUUCAGCGGGACACCAACAGGGCGUCCUGCAAUACCAAAGCGGAGCUGGUGGCCAGAAUAAAGGACGUGUUUGUGGCCAUCCCCAGAGACAUGGUUGUCCGGGCUUGCGCGCGGUUCCGGAAGCGGGUGCAGGCGGUCAUCGACGCGGAGGGGGGAUACUUCGAAUAAAAAAUGCGGCAAACAUGUUACUAAAUCCAUCAUAAAAGGUCUAUUUUGAGAAAGAUAUCUAUGAGACGGACAUCGACAAGAAUGUGGAAAUCAAUCACAUUUUUUCAACAUAUCAGCAAAGACGCACGGUGAGGCGUCCGGUGUACGAUACAAGAUCUCGAGCGGUAACAUAGGCAAUAUGUUUGCCAUACGCAACACAACAGGCGCCAACAUACGUAGCCAAGGCGUUGGAUUAUGAGAAGAUUAAAAAGGAUAGACCAAAGAGAUACCUACUGUGCUGCAUGUGGUGCGAAUUCAUCAAUUAAACGUGAUCUCACUUAUCCCACAUACACCACCGUUCUCAUCAACGUACGCGAUGUAAACGACAAUCCACUGGCGUUUGAGAAAUCGUUAUAUCGCACACAAAUCACCGAGGAAGACGACCUAGGGAUGCCGAAGCGUGUACUGCGGGUAAGCGAUGGGACCAUCUGACCCUUGCGUUCGAGACAGAUCAGCUGGAGGCGACUUAUGCUUGAGGGACUAGAGAAUCGAGAAAGCAUUCCUCUGGGAUAACCAGAGGCCGGUAUCGUUGAUACUUUGGGACGGGAUGUGAGAAUUGGUUUGGUGCUUUUCUUUCCCAAUAUCAUCCAGUAUCUCGUAAUAGGGUCGCCCAACACAAACACCUGAUUUGAUUGUAAAGAUGGGA